CCUACGGGUGGCUGCAGUGGGGAAUAUUGGACAAUGGGCGAAAGCCUGAUCCAGCCAUGCCGCGUGUGUGAAGAAGGCCUUCGGGUUGUAAAGUACUUUCAGUGGGGAAGAAAGCCUUGGGGCUAAUACCCUCGAGGAAGGACAUCACCCACAGAAGAAGCACCGGCUAACUCCGUGCCAGCAGCCGCGGUAAUACGGAGGGUGCGAGCGUUAAUCGGAAUUACUGGGCGUAAAGCGCGCGUAGGCGGUCUGAUAAGCCGGUUGUGAAAGCCCCGGGCUCAACCUGGGAACGGCAUCCGGAACUGUCAGGCUAGAGUGCAGGAGAGGAAGGUAGAAUUCCCGGUGUAGCGGUGAAAUGCGUAGAGAUCGGGAGGAAUACCAGUGGCGAAGGCGGCCUUCUGGACUGACACUGACGCUGAGGUGCGAAAGCGUGGGUAGCAAACAGGAUUAGAUACCCCAGUAGUC
rnacentral:rRNA from 1 species